AGUUCGGCCAGCCGUUGGUUGGAAGUCACAGAUGAUUAUUUACUCUCAAAGCGAUCUACCAGUCCUCUUGUUGAGCCUCCUUAUUUUUGUGAAAAUAUGAGACAAGUGUACAGGAGAAUGCUGACUAAUCCUGAACCCUUGAAAACCAUUUUCAAAGGUGGAGAAGGUAGAAGAUAUAGACGAUGUGAAGCCUCAGGUAAAUGGAUGUUAGUUGACCCACACCUUUACGAAGAUGGAUUAAUAGAGUCAAGCCAAAUCAGACAACCCAGCUUUAAUAUCAAGGAUUUUGUAGCUUCAGUGAAGAAACUGUGAAAGGUUGAAGCGUCUUUGGAAGUUUAACAUAGACAAUCCAGAACUUUGCAGUUUCAGUCAAGAAACUGUAACAUGAUGUAGCAUCAUAGCUUGACAAGUAAAGUCAAGGAUUUGUACCUUCUUGUAACGGUUUUUUCAUAGACAAUCCAGAACUUUGCAGUUUCAGUCAAGAAACUGUAACAUGAUGACAGCUGACAAGUGAAGUCAAGGAUUGGAAUUUUCAGUGUCAAAUCAAACUAAAUCAGACUUUAAGGGACGUCCUGCACCACACACCAAAAUUAAAGUGACUAAACAAAACCAAUAAUGAUGUGACGUCUUACAAUUCGUAAACUUUGUUAAUUUUUUACUUGGAAGUUUUCAGAAAUAAAUAAACAAAAAUUGCA